rnacentral:tRNA from 2 species
GUGUCCGUGGCUCAGCUGGAUAGAGCGUUGGCCUCCGGAGCCGAAGAUCGGGAGUUCGAAUCUCCCCGGGCACACCA